rnacentral:rRNA from 1 species
GACGAACGCUGGCGGCGUGCUUAACACAUGCAAGUCGAACGAAGUGGCGAACGGGUGAGUAAUACGUGGGUAACCUGCCCUCCUUUUUGGGAUAAGCCUUGGAAACGGGGUCUAAUACCGAAUAAAGGGGGAUGGGCUCGCGGGCUAUCAGCUGGUUGGUGGGGUGAUGGCCUACCAAGGCGGUGACGGGUAGCCGGCCUGAGAGGGUGACCGGCCACAUUGGGACUGAGAACCGGCCCAGACUCCUACGGGAGGCAGCAGUGGGGGAUAUUGCACAAUGGGCGAAAGCCUGAUGCAGCGACGCCGCGUGAGUGAAGAAGGUUUUCGGAUCGUAAAACACUGUUGUUAGAGAAGGAGGAGCUAAACAGAAAGCCAUGGCUAACUACGUGCCAGCAGCCGCGGUAAUAG